GUCUAUAGCCACACCACCCUGAACACGCCCAAUUUUGUCUGAUCUUAGAAGCUAAGCAGGGUCAGGCCUGGUUAGGACUUGGAUGGGAAGAAAAUAAGGCUGCAAAUAACC
ensembl:rRNA 5S_rRNA 5S ribosomal RNA